rnacentral:rRNA from 1 species
CGGCGGACGGGUGAGUAACACGUGGGCAACCUGCCCUGUAGACUGGGAUAACUUCGGGAAACCGGAGCUAAUACCGGAUAAUCUUUUAGCCUCAUGGCUUUAAGCUAAAAGGCGCUUCGGCGUCACUACAGGAUGGGCCCGCGGUGCAUUAGCUAGUUGGUGGGGUAACGGCCUACCAAGGCAACGAUGCAUAGCCGACCUGAGAGGGUGAUCGGCCACAUUGGGACUGAGACACGGCCCAA